rnacentral:rRNA from 1 species
AGACACGGCCCAAACUCCUACGGGAGGCAGCAGUGGGGAAUAUUGGACAAUGGGCGCAAGCCUGAUCCAGCCAUGCCGCGUGAGUGAUGACGGCCUUAGGGUUGUAAAGCUCUUUCGCUAGGGACGAUAAUGACGGUACCUAGACAAGAAGCCCCGGCUAACUUCGUGCCAGCAGCCGCGGUAAUACGAAGGGGGCUAGCGUUGUUCGGAAUUACUGGGCGUAAAGCGCGUGUAGGCGGGCGUUUAAGUCAGGGGUGAAAUGCCAAGGCUCAACCUUGGAACUGCCUUUGAUACUGAAUGUCUUGAGUCCGGGAGAGGUGAGUGGAACUGCGAGUGUAGAGGUGAAAUUCGUAGAUAUUCGCAAGAACACCAGUGGCGAAGGCGGCUCACUGGCCCGGAACUGACGCUGAGACGCGAAAGCGUGGGGAGCAAACAGGAUUAGAUACCCUGGUAGUCCACGCUGUAAACGAUGGAUGCUAGCCGUUGGGGAGCUUGCUCUUCAGUGGCGCAGCUAACG